rnacentral:rRNA from 1 species
GUGGGGAAUAUUGGACAAUGGGCGAAAGCCUGAUCCAGCCAUGCCGCGUGUGUGAAGAAGGUCUUCGGAUUGUAAAGCACUUUAAGUUGGGAGGAAGGGCAGUAAGUUAAUACCUUGCUGUUUUGACGUUACCGACAGAAUAAGCACCGGCUAACUUCGUGCCAGCAGCCGCGGUAAUACGAAGGGUGCAAGCGUUAAUCGGAAUUACUGGGCGUAAAGCGCGCGUAGGUGGUUUUGUAAGUUGGAGGUGAAAUCCCCGGGCUCAACCUGGGAACUGCCUCCAAAACUGCAUGACUAGAGUACGGUAGAGGGUAGUGGAAUUUCCUGUGUAGCGGUGAAAUGCGUAGAUAUAGGAAGGAAAACCAGUGGCGAAGGCGACUACCUGGACUGAUACUGACACUGAGGUGCGAAAGCGUGGGGAGCAAACAGGAUUAGAAACCCGAGUAGUCC